rnacentral:ncRNA from 1 species
GCUGGCAGUCGGACGCAGUUUUACCCGGUAAAGCGAAUGAUUAGAGGUCUUGGGUCCAAACGAUCUCAACCUAUUCUCAAGCUUUAAAUGGAUAAGAAGCCCAACUCGCUGGCGUGGAGCCCAGCGUGGAAUGUGAGUGCCU